rnacentral:rRNA from 1 species
CCCUUAGAUGUUCUGGGCUGCACGCGUGCUACACUGAUAUUGCCAAUAUGUCAUUCUUAUCCGAAAUGGAUUGGGUAAUCAAGUAAUGAAAUUUCAUGCUUGGAAUCGGUAAUUGCAAUUUUAUCGUGAACGAGGAAUUCCUAGUAAGCACUAGUCAUCAGCUAAUGUUGAUUAUGUCCCUGCCCUUUGUACACACCGCCCGUCGCUACUACUGAUUGGGUGUUCAAGUGAGAUGCUUAGAUCCUUGUUGCAUGGUUCAUUAUUGUGCUCCGAAAGGAAAAAGUUUCAAGCUUGAGUGUCUAGAGGAAGUAAAAGUCGUAACA